rnacentral:tRNA from 1 species
GCCCGGGUGGUGAAACUGGUAGACACAAGGGACUUAAAAUCCCUCGACCCUCAUCGGUCGUGCCGGUUCGAUUCCGGCCCCGGGCACCA